GGGCCCGUAGCUUAGCCCGGUCAGAGCGCCCUGGGGCCCAGCCCCGCGUAAGGCUCAUAACCGGGAAGUCCCGGGUUCAAAUCCCGGCGGGCCCA
rnacentral:tRNA from 1 species